rnacentral:lncRNA from 1 species
UCGCUUUCAUCCAUGUACAUCACUCAGAAAAUUGAAUGAAACUCCCUCUUCCUCCCAUUUCCUGUGUGCCAAAUCUUUGUGUUUGUGAGUGCGAUUGAGAGCAAUCCCAUGAAUGAUUCCUGACACAUACUAGCAGUUGUCAUAUUAUGGAGAGAUUAUUCCCUAUGUCGCUAUCUGAGUGUCAUUGUGGAUUCAUGCCAGCCAUUCUUUGCCUAGUCUGACAAAGUUUGUAGGAACUAUUAGCAACAAUUGUAUCUCCAAAUAAUUUUUAUUAUGAAAAUUGAUUGAAUGCUAAUUAAUGAUAUUAAUUAUGUACUAGAUAAAUUAGUAUUUUUAUUUUGUAUAUUUAGUCAAAGAUAAAUAUGUUCAACUUGUCUGGAAGUGUGAACGAUAGAUAAAAAGGGACAGAGGGCAUAUAUCUUGUAGAAAUUCGAUAGUAAGACAGAGCUGUCUGAAAGGAGUCUUUGAGCCUUAUCAUGUAUAUAGUUUGAAGCACCUAACUUGUCCUUCUCCUUGAGGUGAGCAUUCCACUUUUGCAGUAGUGAAAUUGCCAUAUGCAUAACACCAAUGGGCUUGCUCAGAAACUUGCUCCAAAUAGCCCCAAAAAACUUCAAUAAAGAUAAACACAAUUAAAGGUUGAGGUAAGGGUUCAACAGAAAAUAAUUUCCUCUAGCUCCUAGAGAAAUUAGCUGAAACAUACCGAAGCAUGUGUUCCUCAACCAGGACAGCUGUGCAAGUGAACCACAAUAUCUGGCAAUGUGGGUUCCUUACACUUCUAAAUCCUGAAUUAAUGUCUCUAGAGUGAAGACGCUGCUGAUGGAUUUGUUCUUCAUUAUUUGUUGGGCCAGCAUAAAUUAACCUCCUAUCAGAGUAGUCCUAACUAGUAACUGGUCCAUGUACUCUUAAUGCAACGUGCAGUGCCUUCGGUGGUCACAACCUAGUGUUCGUGAAACUACACUAGUGGUGCUUGAGCUUGUGUCAGGCAUUUUAUACUCCUGUUUGGUCUAGUCGGGUAAGCCAAUUAAAUCCAAACAUGCAUAUAAGCUCUGCACAUGCUCAUCAGUCAUGCUACUGCACAUCCAUUCGCCAUAUAAAUUGAACACACUGCUACCACAUGUGGUUGAUAUGAAAGUAGUAGGUAGCUUCAUAAAUCAUAUAUUAUCCCUAACAUUUUGCUGGCUGUGAAGCUAACUUUCAAUAGAUGCUGCCUGCAACUUAUUCGAGUACAUGAUGAACCCUAAAAGUUCAUAUGGCUUGACAAAUGUGAAGCUCUAAUAUGAGAAAUUUUUCUAUGUUUUAUUUAGGAAUGAACGCUACUAAAACUUCAUACUGGUAAGCCUAAACCUAGCAGGACCAACACCAUCCUCGUGGGACAAAUCGACAAGACUUAAACAUUGGGAUAUGUUAUGUCCCGGGCAAGAGGAUCCCGACCAAAGGAACCCCCGACUAAUCUCGCUAGGAUCGCUCGGGGGCUUGGGGGCUACACCCAUCAGGUGGUCUCGCACACACCUUCUGCCCAAGGAUCGGGUGAAACCUGAGCACGCCCUCGGCCUUUGCUCGGGAUUUGGAGGCUCGAAUGAGCUCCAAACUACCAAUCAACGGUAGUCUGAGCCAGAUCCACGGCUAGAACCUACGGCCCUGAGUACCGAAGUCUCAGGAUCUCCUCAGCAUUGUCUAACGGGCACAAUGUAUUAGCCCAUUGAUCCAACAAAGUUGUGCACAGAGUCCUCGAGGAGAACUCCGAGCUCUGCACCGAGAGCAUGGCCACCCUGACAGGAGUAUCGAGAGCUCCUCCACACCGUAGUUUUCUUCCCCUUCGAUGCUGAAGAAACCUCACUGCAGAUGGAUUAGCUCUGUGCAAUUUCCUUCCUAAUCUCUUACACUCACUGCUGCA